rnacentral:sRNA from 1 species
GGGACUGCGGCCCGUCUCUAUUCGUGCGUCUCCUCCUCCGCAGGUCAGCUCCGCCGAAGGCGCCGCCAAGGAAGAGCCCAAGAGGAGAUCGGCGCGGUUGUCAGCUAAACCUCCUGCAAAAGUGGAAGCGAAGCCGAAAAAGGCAGCAGCGAAGAGUCAAGUUAGCACUGAGGCCAGGAGAAAGGGACCGUGUAAGUUUUUAUAUAUACAGUUUCCAAGCCAACUUCGGGAAGCCUUAACCUUUUUACGGGGUGGGGGUGGGGAGGUAAAAAGUUGUGAUCUCUGAGAAAAUAGCCGCCACUACUCUGGAAGUGUUCAGCAGCAGUUAUACAAAACCGUGAUUUUGGCUGCUCCCUAACAAAUUCGUGAUUGCAUGAUUCGAAUUGCAGGUCUGUAGAAUGAAGUUGGCUUUGGGUAUACGUGUGUUUGAUAACUUUCAGGGUGGAAAAGCAGAACAUGUGUAAAACAUGUAUAAGCUUUGUGUUUGGAUAUGGCAUUGAAACCACCACCUGUAAAGCUCUACAUGUUCUUCGCGGGGUGAUUAAUUUUUAUCCAAAACUUAGGUGAGAGUUUGCUAUUUGAAGUCUCAAAAAAAAUUUUUGUUAAUGCCUUCACCUCUUU